AGUGAACGCUGGCGGCAGGCCUAACACAUGCAAGUCGAGCGGCAGCACAGUACUUGCUCCUGGUUUCAGCGGGGGAGGGGUGCGUGAUGCCUAUGAAUCUGCCUGGUAGCGUUUGUUAACGUCAGCACACGGGCGCUAAUACCGCAUACGCCCUGAGGCAGCAAGUGGGGGAUCUUGGGAUCUCACGCUAUCACAUGAGCCUAGGUCGGAUUAGCUAGUUGGCGGGGUAAAGGCCUACCAAGGCGACGAUCCGUAGCUGGUCUGAGAGGAUGAUCAGUCACACUGGAACUGAGACACGGUCCAGACUCCUACGGGAGGCAGCAGUGGGGAAUAUUGGACAAUGGGCGCAAGCCUGAUCCAGCCAUGCCGCGUGUGUGAAGAAGGUCUUCGGGUUGUAAAGCACUUUUGUUGGGGAAGAAAAGCAGUAGGUUAAUACCCUGCUGUUUUGACGGUACCAAAAGAAUAAGCACCGGCUAACUUCGUG
rnacentral:rRNA from 1 species